GUACACGCUGUGACUAGCAUAUCAAUAAGCGGAGGAAAAGAAACUAACAAGGAUUCCCUUAGUAACGGCGAGUGAAGCGGGAAGAGCUCAAAUUUGAAAUCUUCAAGGUUUUACCUUGACGAAUUGUAGUUUAAAGAAGUGUUUUCCUGCUGAAGUUUUGGUAAAAGUUCUUUGGAAUAGGACAUCAUAGAGGGUGAGAAUCCCGUAUUUGACCAUUAUUUUCAGCUUUGUGAUACACUUUCAAAGAGUCGGAUUGUUUGGGAAUGCAGUCCAAAAUGGGUGGUAAAUUUCAUCUAAAGCUAAAUAUUGGCGAGAGACCGAUAGCGAACAAGUACCGUGAGGGAAAGAUGAAAGGAACUUUGAAAAGAGAGUUAAACAGUACGUGAAAUUGUCAAAAGGGAAGCGUUUGACACCAGUGUUGUUUUCUCGAAAAUCAAUUAAAAAUGGCUCGAUUUUGUAUUGUUGAGACCUUAAAAGCUCACUGUACAUUUUUCGUGUCUUUUUUAAUGCACUUUUCGUUUAACAAGUCAACAUCAGUUUCUUUUGUUGUAAAAGGGUCAUUGGAAGGUGGCUUUCUUUUCGGAGAAAGUGUUUAUAGCCUUUGGCCUCUGCAAUCGAAGAGACUGAGGUCUGCAGCGUAGACUCUUCGGGGUUAGAUACAUUUGUGCUAAGUUAUAGCUUUUAUAGACAACUUGUUGACUAUAAUUAGUCUUGUAGCUUACUCGCUUAUGCUAUUUUACCUACGCUUAGGAUGUUGAUCUACAGAGCGAGAGU
rnacentral:rRNA from 1 species